rnacentral:misc_RNA from 1 species
GAAAGCCGGGUGCCGGAAAUCGGCGCGCCCGGUUUGAUGAGCGGGGAUGGGAAACGGGGCGUUGGCCAUAGGCCCCAGGCUACCGCGCCCAUCCUCGACUCUAC